rnacentral:tRNA from 1 species
AGCAGCGUGGCCCAGUGGAAAGAGCCCGGGCUUGGGAGUCGGGGGCGUGGGUUCGAAUCCCGGCUCUGCCA